GACGAACGCUGGCGGCGUGCUUAACACAUGCAAGUCGAGCGGAAAGGCCACUUCGGUGGUACCCGAGCGGCGAACGGGUGAGUAACACGUGAGUAAUCUGCCCUUGGCUUUGGGAUAACCACCGGAAACGGUGAUUAAUACCGGAUACGACCACUUCUCGCAUGGGAUGGUGGUGGAAAGUUUUUUCGGCCAGGGAUGUGCUCGCGGCCUAUCAGCUUGAUGGUGAGGUAAUGGCUCACCAUGGCUUCGACGGGUAGCCGGCCUGAGAGGGUGAACGGUCACACUGGGACUGAGACACGGCCCAGACUCCUACGGGAGGCAGCAGUGGGGAAUAUUGGACAAUGGGCGGAAGCCUGAUCCAGCAACGCCGCGUGAGGGAUGACGGCCUUCGGGUUGUAAACCUCUUUCAGCAGGGACGAAGCGCAAGUGACGGUACCUGCAGAAGAAGCACCGGCCAACUACGUGCCAGCCGCCGCCGUAAGAC
rnacentral:rRNA from 1 species